CUACGGGUCGCAGCAGUGAGGAAUAUUGGACAAUGGUCGAAAGACUGAUCCAGCCAUGCCGCGUGCAGGAUGAAUGCCCUAUGGGUUGUAAACUGCUUUUAUACGGGAAGAACACCACCCACGUGUGGGUGACUGACGGUACCGUAAGAAUAAGGACCGGCUAACUCCGUGCCAGCAGCCGCGGUAAUACGGAGGGUCCAAGCGUUAUCCGGAAUCAUUGGGUUUAAAGGGUCCGUAGGCGGGCUAUUAAGUCAGAGGUGAAAGUUUGCAGCUCAACUGUAAAAUUGCCUUUGAUACUGGUAGUCUUGAGUUAUAGUGAAGUGGUUAGAAUAUGUGGUGUAGCGGUGAAAUGCAUAGAUAUCACAUAGAAUACCAAUUGCGAAGGCAGAUCACUAACUAUAUACUGACGCUGAUGGACGAAAGCGUGGGGAGCGAACGGGAUUAGAUACCCCUGUAGUC
rnacentral:rRNA from 1 species